rnacentral:rRNA from 1 species
AUUGAACGCUGGCGGCAGGCCUAACACAUGCAAGUCGAACGAGUGGCGGACGGGUGGGUAAUGUCUGGGAAACUGCCCGAUGGAGGGGGAUAACUACGGGAAACGGUAGCUAAUAACGCAUCCCAUCGGAUGUGCCCAGAUGGGAUGAGCUAGUAGGAGGGGUAACGGCUCACCUAGACGACGAUCCCUAGCUGGUCUGAGAGGAUGACCAGCCACACGGGAACUGAGACACGGGCCAGACUCCUACGGGAGGCAGCAGUGGGGAAUAUUGCACAAUGGGCGCAAGCCUGAUGCAGCCAUGCCGCGUGUGUGAUGAAGGCCUUCGGGUUGUAAAGUACUGUCAGCGGGGAGGCGGUACUCGCAGAAUAAGCACCGGCUAACUACGUGCCAGCAGCCGCGGUAAUAC